GGAGAGGUGUCUGAGCUGGUUUAAGGAGCACGCCUGGAAAGCGUGUAUACGUGAAAGCGUAUCGGGGGUUCGAAUCCCCCCUUCUCCGCCA
rnacentral:tRNA from 2 species